rnacentral:rRNA from 1 species
UGGGGAAUAUUGGACAAUGGGCGAAAGCCUGAUCCAGCCAUGCCGCGUGUGUGAAGAAAGCCUUUUGGUUGUAAAGCACUUUAAGUGGGGAGGAAAAGCUUAUGGUUAAUACCCAUAAGCCCUGACGUUACCCACAGAAUAAGCACCGGCUAACUCUGUGCCAGCAGCCGCGGUAAUACAGAGGGUGCAAGCGUUAAUCGGAAUUACUGGGCGUAAAGCGCGCGUAGGUGGUUAUUUAAGUCAGAUGUGAAAGCCCCGGGCUUAACCUGGGAACUGCAUCUGAUACUGGAUAACUAGAGUAGGUGAGAGGGGAGUAGAAUUCCAGGUGUAGCGGUGAAAUGCGUAGAGAUCUGGAGGAAUACCGAUGGCGAAGGCAGCUCCCUGGUAUCAUACUGACACUGAGGUGCGAAAGCGUGGGUAGCAAACAGGAUUAGAUACCCUGGUAGUCCACGCCGUAAACGAUGUCUACCAGUCGUUGGGUCUUUUAAAGACUUAGUGACGCAGUUAACGCAAUAAGUAGACCGCCUGGGGAGUACGGCCGCAAGGUUA